ACAGCAGCCUCCAAAUAAAACGGUGGUGCUGUUAAGCCCGUCUCUCGUCUUAAGUAUCGGUGUGAUGAAAAAUCGAGUUUUUCGUGAAAAAUAUGCAAGAUAUACUGAGUAUGCUGGUGGACAUCGAUACAAGUUCCUGCUGGAAUCUUCCCUUUUAGAAAAGUUGAAAAUUUCGGUAUUUUGUUACCGCCUGUUGCUUCCUGUUGGACAAUCCUGCAGUCUUCCUCCAGAGGAUGGAAGUAAGUCACUUCGGCCUACAGCCUUGAUUACCACGGCGUCGACCAAAUUUCAUUUAUGUGUUGAACUGCAUGCUGCCGAACUGCAUAUGCGACUGAUACAUAAAGGCAUAAACUCCAGUUUUUCUUGUGCGAUUUGAAGCGAAUGCAUGGCAUGAAAGGGAUCGUCACAUGAGAAUACAUACAAAAACGAGACUUUGUUUGCCAUAUAGUCUUUUGUGACUAAAGUCAGAGCAAUGAGUGUGACUCCUAAGAAAUUAUGAUAGAGCUCGAAACAAAUACACGAAUAAAUACAACAUUG